UGCUCCUCUCCUCGAUCCUCACCUUUGCCCAGGCCGAUCUAUUCCCCCUCGCCGCCGCCACACCCCAGCCCCCUCGCCGUCGCGGCCGCACCUCAGCCCGCUCGCCGCCCCCGUCGCAACCCAACCCUUCCUCCCCUCCAAUGGAUGCCGCCCCAACCACCUCAUCCAAUAGGAAGCCCCAGUUCGGCAGCCUCUGUUCCCGCCCUUCAGCGGCCACCUCACCACUCCUCCAACGCCCAGCACGUCCUUAUCCAACGCCCGAUUGAAUUGUUGUUGCCAAGAUCUGCCUCAAUGUGGUUUGCAUCAUUGCGGCGACGACAUCGUCGAUCUUCGACUCCGGCGGCUACAUCCAGAAGGACUACCACAAUUCUCGCGGCUGGUAGCUCUUUCAAAGAUAGCUCGCUCGUCGUAUCUCGACAGAAGAAGAACAACUUUGAUCGAUGGAGAUGGAUUUCUUUCUUGUUGGUGCGAUCCAGGGAAGCUAUUUGUGGUGUAAUAUGCAGCUAAAGGUAUUCCAACAUGAGCUUCCAUGCACAACAUCAGUGCUUAAAGUAAAGGCUUCAAGACUUAAAAGUAAAGUACACCCAUGGCUUAACUUAGUUUCCUUUUCUUAUAGAUAACUUGAUUCUCUUGUUAUAGAUAACUUGAUUCUCUGCUCACAACCAACUGCAGCAAGAAAUAAUUUCACAGGUAGCCUUUUCCUUUUCACUGCUUUGACAACAUUAUUUUUUGAGAACUGACAACAUUUUAACAUGGUAUCACCCGUUGCAACACAUUGUAAUUAUGCAGCCACAGAUCGUGCCAAAGCAUAGCCAGCCUUGGUCCAAGGAGAUAGAGAAGUACUGACAAGGUGGCUCGUUCGCAAGUUGGAGCCGUCCACGAGCUCACUGCUCUUGGUCGCUCACAGCAAAGAACUGCAUGUUGGCUGGGAUCUUGCCCAUGUAAUAUCUUCAGUACUGUAAUGGCAGAUUGUACUUACCUUUUUUUGUAAUUUUUUUUGGUGUUUAGGCCAUGCUUAUUGGGCCAAGAGGUAGACCCCGUAUAAUGCCGACCCGCUAAAUGCAUUUACAGUUUGC